rnacentral:rRNA from 1 species
AGCGAACGCUGGCGGCAGGCUUAACACAUGCAAGUCGAGCGGGCAUCCUUGUGGUGUCCGCGGCAGACGGGUGAGUAACGCGUGGGAACGUGCCCUUCGGUUCGGAAUAACUCAGGGAAACUUGAGCUAAUACCGGAUACGCCCUUUUGGGGAAAGGUUUACUGCCGAAGGAUCGGCCCGCGUCUGAUUAGCUAGUUGGUGAGGUUAUGGCUCACCAAGGCGACGAUCAGUAGCUGGUCUGAGAGGAUGAUCAGCCACACUGGGACUGGGACACGGCCCAGACUCCUACGGGAGGCAGCAGUGGGGAAUAUUGGACAAUGGGGGCAACCCUGAUCCAGCCAUGCCGCGUGAGUGAUGACGGCCUUAGGGUUGUAAAGCUCUUUUCUCCGGGACGAUAAUGACGGUACCGGAGGAAUAAGCCCCGGCUAACUUCGUG